AUUGAACGCUGGCGGAAUGCUUUACACAUGCAAGUCGAACGGCAGCACGGGUGCUUGCACCUGGUGGCGAGUGGCGAACGGGUGAGUAAUGCACCGGAACGUAUCCAAUAAUGGGGGAUAACGCACCGAAAGGUGUGCUAAUACUGCAUACGCCCUGAGGGGGAAAGCGGGGGAUCGUAAGACCUCGCGUUAAUGGAGCGGCCGAUGCCGGAUUAGCUAGUUGGUGAGGUAAAGGCUCACCAAGGCGACGAUCCGUAGCUGGUCUGAGAGGACGACCAGCCACACUGGAACUGAGACACGGUCCAGACUCCUACGGGAGGCAGCAGUGGGGAAUUUUGGGACAAUGGGCGCAAGCCUGAUCCAGCCAUUCCGCGUGAGUGAAGAAGGCCUUCGGUUGUAAAGCGUA
rnacentral:rRNA from 1 species